ensembl:lncRNA GMDS-DT GMDS divergent transcript
GCCGCCACCGCCUCAGGGAAGAGGAAGGAGGCCGCGGCUUCGCGUCCCGCCUCUCGCCUGGCUGGCCGUGGGGGGCCUGGACGCAGUGGCCUCCCGAAUCUCCCAGGACCCUAAUAUCGCCCGAGGAUGCUGGGAGGAACGCUGAGCCGACCUCUCCGUUAGGCUGAAGAUUGCACAAACCAUGCUAAUGGCCAGCAUGGAUGGAGGGAGCGUGUGAGAUGUGUGGGGCAGCGUGCUGCAUCUCAGCCAACUCCAGGAGGGCCUGUCUUGAGAUGCACCUUGUUUGCCCACGGGGGAAACGUGCUUUGGAAAGUGCUGGACACCAUGGCUGUGCAGGCCCAAGAAGAUGGAACGAAGUCUGUUUGUGGAAACACCCUUCCCCUCUGUUUACUUGGACCUGAUUUUGAAAGUAACAAGUCACUUUAUUUGGGCUGGAGGAAAAAGCACUAAACCAGAUGUUGAGGUGACCGGGAUUCCUGGAAGACAUUCUUCUCUCCAACGAGACACAUGAUGCAUGAAGUAGGAGCCCCUGGCAAGGAGCCCAGGCUGCCAUGGCCUCGCUCGCUCCUGCUUCCCGGCAUGGCCCCGAGGCUAGCUGCCUCUGUACUGCCUGAGCAUCGUCCCCUGGCGUGUCACCAGACUACCCACUACCUGUGCUUGCACCUGCAGGUGGGCAGUUCAGUCGUUGCAGGCUGAAGCUCCCUGUCACAGGAGUCCAUCAGCACUGGAGUUUACCAAAUGGCCCAGUCCAGGAAGCAUGCUCAUGGCAAUACCCGGAGUCUCCACUGCAAGACCAGAGUGACGGAGGCAGCAGAGCUCCUCAGCAGGCCAGGAGUCUCCAGAGGCACUGCCGAAUGUCUAAGAAGCAACCUCAUUGUAUUCCCAAGACCUGGGAAUCCAGGUCUCGCAGAUACGAUGAUACAAUCUAUAGCCAGGACAUCUCUUCAUGUGUAGUUUUCAAUGAAUACUAGGAUAAGCAACUAUCCCAGUCUUCCCAGGAUUGAGGGGCUUCUCCAGAUGCUGCACUUCUGGUGCUAAAAAUGAGAAACUGAAAUGAAUUAGUCACCCAAGGAAUGCUGACCCUGUGCUAUAUGAUCACAUUUACUCUUUAAAGCAAUGCUUUGAGAACAAUUGAGCUGCAUAGUCCCUGCAAUCUUAUAAAGGCAUUUGGCCUGGAAGAUGCUCUGCAGCCAUGUGCCAAGAAUAACGGCUAUAGGGACAAUGUUUCAUUAACCCCAAAGCAGCAACCUGAACCUCUUACUGUACAAUAUCUGCUCCGUUCAGAAUUAGCUCGACUUGAGUCACAGGAUGAAGCUUACCAAAAGGAAUUUCCACGUCCAAGGAAGGAACCAAGAUCACUGAGAGGUUAUAGUAUGAAAAGUGAAGAGAAAAAACCUAUUCUAAACAUUUUAUUAAUUGUCAAUAAUUAUUUUAAAAUAUUUAAUAUAGUCUCCUACCUGGUCCACUGGCAUCAAGCUGCCAAAUUUACACGGUCACUUUGGGAAGCCAGCUGGCAGGCAAACAUGGAAAGUGCUGGCUCCUAGCGUAGUGAGAAGACCACAGAUAGAUGGUAAUUUUCUUCUUUGUUUUAUUUUUCUUUUUCUUCUCUCCCUCUUUUUCUUCCCUCUUGCCUUUCCCUCCCAUUGCCCACUUUCUUUUUUUGGCUGCCGAAGAUUUAUUGCCUUUCAGUACUUAUAGAUGAUGUUUUCAUAAGUUCUAAUGAGGUCCCAGCAGUUUUUAACAAUAACAGGACAUUACUGUUCCUAAGAUAUAUUAUGUGUUUUCCCUCAUCUUUCUCCCUUGAAUGAAAUGCUUAGAAGUAGGCUAACCCCCAAUUCCCUUCCCUUUACUAUGAUAAAUGGCUCCAUUACUUAAUAGGGCUAAAUACUCUGCUGUGACUUUUAUACUGCUGAUUUGAAUAAAAUCUUACGAAAA